GAAUAUUGUUGUUGUCAAGGCGUCUGAAAGCUUUAUGAAAAUAAUGAGUUUUAUCGACCGAAGACGUCUACUCUACACUCCCUUUUCAACCUACAUAUUAUUAAAUCUAUGUAUAUCUACAUUACCGUGUUACAUUGAGACUUUAUCAUGCUGCUACAUUUUGAGCUUUGAGGAUUCUGUCAGAUAUUAAGGGUGUGGUGGAAGCCCGCCCGGCGCGCGCCACCACCCGCCCGUCUCUGUCGCGAAGCAAUGCUGCGUUUUGGUCUGAAGAGUGGAGCAACACUAUUAAAAUAUUAACUAUUCGUACUUCUUAUCUCAUGUCUUAAGAUGAUAUUGAUGUGAUAUUGAUUUUUAUAUCUAUAGGCUCCGGCAACCUCUUAACAACAGGAGCCCGUGAGCUUGUCGAUUCAUCGUGUUUCAACGACUUGUAGGAGCACAUUAAGUCGUUUUACAUGAAAUUUUGAGUCCUCUCCACAGAAAAACAUUAGUCAAAAAGAAAAUUAAAAGAAAUGUCGAAAAUGUAUAAAAAAUAAAAGUUAAAAAGUCGACAAAUAAAACGAUAUCAAGCGUUAGCUCUGAAUCUCAUUGUCCUCUGAAUGCCUGUAUGUUUGUAUGAAGCGCCCAAAACAGCAAAAGCGCCGAGAUUAGAGGGGCUGCCAGGCACCCGACCCUCGUACCUGAUUUAUAGCUUACAGACACCCUUUUGUAACAGCCUCUGAUCUCUGCGAAUUUUCUCUACUAAAACACAAAAUAAAACUACUUCAAAAUU